rfam:Ictidomys tridecemlineatus contig061963, whole genome shotgun sequence.
GGUGAUAUAGCUUAGAUGGUAGAGCAUUUGCCUAGCAUGCACAAGCCUGGGUCCAAUCCCCAGCACCACCA